rnacentral:rRNA from 1 species
UGGGGAAUAUUGCGCAAUGGGGGGAACCCUGACGCAGCCAUGNCGCGUGAAUGAAGAAGGCCUUAGGGUUGUAAAGUUCUUUCGGUAUUGAGGAAGGUUGAUGUGUUAAUAGCACAUCAAAUUGACGUUAAAUACAGAAGAAGCACCGGCUAACUCCGUGCCAGCAGCCGCGGUAAUACGGAGGGUGCGAGCGUUAAUCGGAAUAACUGGGCGUAAAGGGCACGCAGGCGGUUAUUUAAGUGAGGUGUGAAAGCCCCGGGCUUAACCUGGGAAUUGCAUUUCAGACUGGGUAACUAGAGUACUUUAGGGAGGGGUAGAAUUCCACGUGUAGCGGUGAAAUGCGUAGAGAUGUGGAGGAAUACCGAAGGCGAAGCNAGCCCCUUGGGAAUGUACUGACGCUCAUGUGCGAAAGCGUGGGGAGCAAACAGGAUUAGAUACCCUGGUAGUCCACGCUGUAAACGCUGUCGAUUUGGGGGUUGGGGUUUAACUCUGGCGCCCGUAGCUAACGUGAUAAAUCGACCACCUGGGGAGUACGGCCGCAAGNUA